GACGUAGGGCGCGAGCGUUGUCCGGAAUCAUUGGGCGUAAAGCGCGUGUAGGCGGUUCGGUAAGUCCGCUGUGAAAGUCGGGGGCUCAACCCUCGAAAGCCGGUGGAUACUGUCGGACUAGAGUGCGGAAGAGGCGAGUGGAAUUCCUGGUGUAGCGGUGAAAUGCGCAGAUAUCAGGAGGAACACCAAUGGCGAAGGCAGCUCGCUGGGACGGUACUGACGCUGAGGCGCGAAAGCGUGGGGGAGCGAACAGG
rnacentral:rRNA from 1 species